UACGGAGGGUCCAAGCGUUAUCCGGAAUCACUGGGCGUAAAGCGUCUGUAGGUGGUCGAACAAGUCAACUGUUAAAUCUUGAGGCUUAACUUCAAAAUCGCAGUCGAAACUGUUUGACUAGAGUAUAGUAGGGGUAAAGGGAAUUUCCAGUGGAGCGGUGAAAUGCGUAGAUAUUGGAAAGAACACCGAUGGCGAAAGCACUUUACUGGGCUAUUACUAACACUCAGAGACGAAAGCUAGGGUAGCAAAUGGG
rnacentral:rRNA from 1 species